rnacentral:rRNA from 1 species
GCAAGGCCUUGCGCUCUUUGAGCGGCCGAUGUCAGAUUAGCUAGUUGGUGAGGUAAAGGCUUACCAAGGCGACGAUCUGUAGCGGGUCUGAGAGGAUGAUCCGCCACACUGGAACUGAGACACGGUCCAGACUCCUACGGGAGGCAGCAGUGGGGAAUUUUGGACAAUGGGGGCAACCCUGAUCCAGCCAUGCCGCGUGAGUGAAGAAGGCCUUCGGGUUGUAAAGCUCUUUCGGCCGGGAAGAAAUCGCAUGGGCCAAUACCCUGUGUGGAUGACGGUACCGGAAUAAGAAGCACCGGCUAACUACGUGCCAGCAGCCGCGGUAAUACGUAGGGUGCGAGCGUUAAUCGGAAUUACUGGGCGUAAAGCGUGCGCAGGCGGUUUUGUAAGACAGGCGUGAAAUCCCCGGGCUUAACCUGGGAACUGCGUUUGUGACUGCAAGGCUAGAGUACGGCAGAGGGGGGUGGAAUUCCACGUGUAGCAGUGAAAUGCGUAGAGAUGUGGAGGAACACCAAUGGCGAAGGCAGCCCCCUGGGUCGAUACUGACGCUCAUGCACGAAAGCGUGGGUAGCAAACAGGAUUAGAUACCCUGGUAGUCCACGCCUAAACUAUGUCAACUAGGUGUUGGGUGGGUAAAACCAUUUAGUACCGUAGCUAACGCGUGAAGUUGACCGCCUGGGGAGUACGGCCGCAAGGUUAAAACUCAAAGGAAUUGACGGGGACCCGCACAAGCGGUGGAUGAUGUGGAUUAAUUCGAUGCAACGCGAAAAACCUUACCUACCCUUGACAUGCAGGAACUUGCCAGAGAUGGCUUGGUGCCCGAAAGGGAGCCUGGACACAGGUGCUGCAUGGCUGUCGUCAGCUCGUGUCGUGAGAUGUUGGGUUAAGUCCCGCAACGAGCGCAACCCUUGUCGUUAAUUGCCAUCAUUUAGUUGGGCACUUUAACGAGACUGCCGGUGACAAACCGGAGGAAGGUGGGGAUGACGUCAAGUCCUCAUGGCCCUUAUGGGUAGGGCUUCACACGUCAUACAAUGGUCGGUACAAAGGGUUGCCAAGCCGCGAGGCGGAGCCAAUCCCAGAAAGCCGAUCGUAGUCCGGAUUGCAGGCUGCAACUCGCCUGCAUGAAGUCGGAAUCGCUAGUAAUCGUGGAUCAGCAUGUCACGGUGAAUACGUUCCCGGGUCUUGUACACACCGCCCGUCACACCAUGGGAGCGGGUUCCGCCAGAAC